AGUCAUAUGUCCUGGACCAGGU
rnacentral:miRNA from 1 species